rnacentral:rRNA from 1 species
AGCAGCCGCGGUAAUUCCAGCUCCAAUAGCGUAUAUUAAAGUUGUUGCAGUUAAAAAGCUCGUAGUUGAAUUUCGAGAUCGGCUUACUGGUCGUGCUUUUGUACGUACUGGUAUAAUCGGUUUCUCCUUUCUGACGAACUUUAAUGCCAUUAAUUUGGUGUUUUAGGAAAUCAGGACUGUUACUUUGAAAAAAUUAGAGUGUUUAAAGCAGGCUCACGCUUGAAUACAUUAGCAUGGAAUAACGGAAUAGGACGUUUGAUUCUAUUUUGUUGGUUUCUAGGAUCGACGUAAUGAUUAAUAGGGAUAGUUGGGGGCAUUAGUAUUCAAUUGUCAGAGGUGAAAUUCUUGGAUUUAUUGAAGACUAACUACUGCGAAAGCAUUUGCCAAGGAUGUUUUCAUUAAUCAAGAACGAAAGUUAGGGGAUCGAAGACGAUCAGAUACCGUCGUAGUCUUAACCAUAAACUAUAGCCGACUAGGGAUCGGAUGAUGUUAAUUUUUAAUGACUCAUUCGGCGCCUUAC